UGGUUGUCCAAGUUUAAGGUGGCAGGCUGAAAUCUUAGGUAAAUCCGGGGUUUCAAGGCCGAGAGCUGAUGACGAGUCGUCUUUUAGAUGACGAAGUGGUUGAUGCCAUGCUUCCAAGAAAAGCUUCUAAGCUUCAGGUAACCAGGAACCGUACCCCAAACCGACACAGGUGGUCGGGUAGAGAAUACCAAGGCGCUUGAGAGAACUCGGGUGAAGGAACUAGGCAAAAUGGCACCGUAACUUCGGGAGAAGGUGCGCCGGCUAGGGUGAAGGAUUUACUCCGUAAGCUCUGGCUGGUCGAAGAUACCAGGCCGCUGCGACUGUUUAUUAAAAACACAGCACUCUGCAAACACGAAAGUGGACGUAUAGGGUGUGACGCCUGCCCGGUGCCGGAAGGUUAAUUGAUGGGGUUAGCGCAAGCGAAGCUCUUGAUCGAAGCCCCGGUAAACGGCGGCCGUAACAAUAACGGUCCUAAGGUAGCGAAACUCCUUGUCGGGUAAGUUCCGACCUGCACGAAUGGCGUAACGAUGGCGGCGCUGUCUCCACCCGAGACUCAGUGAAAUUGAAAUCGCUGUGAAGAUGCAGUGUAUCCGCGGCUAGACGGAAAGACCCCGUGAACCUUUACUGUAGCUUUGCACUGGACUUUGAGCCUGCUUGUGUAGGAUAGGUGGGAGGCUUUGAAGCGUGGACGCCAGUUCGCGUGGAGCCAUCCUUGAAAUACCACCCUGGCAUGCUUGAGGUUCUAACUCUGGUCCGUAAUCCGGAUCGAGGACAGUGUAUGGUGGGCAGUUUGACUGGGGCGGUCUCCUCCUAAAGAGUAACGGAGGAGUACGAAGGUGCGCUCAGACCGGUCGGAAAUCGGUCGCAGAGUAUAAAGGCAAAAGCACGCUUGACUGCGAGACAGACACGUCGAGCAGGUACGAAAGUAGGUCUUAGUGAUCCGGUGGUUCUGUAUGGAAGGGCCAUCGCUCAACGGAUAAAAGGUACUCCGGGAUAACAGGCUGAUACCGCCCAAGAGUUCAUAUCGACGGCGGUGUUUGGCACCUCGAUGUCGGCUCAUCACAUCCUGGGGCUGAAGCCGGUCCCAAGGGUAUGGCUGUUCGCCAUUUAAAGUGGUACGCGAGCUGGGUUUAGAACGUCGUGAGACAGUUCGGUCCCUAUCUGCCGUGGACGUUUGAGAUUUGAGAGGGGCUGCUCCUAGUACGAGAGGACCGGAGUGGACGAACCUCUGGUGUUCCGGUUGUCACGCCAGUGGCAUUGCCGGGUAGCUAUGUUCGGAAAAGAUAACCGCUGAAAGCAUCUAAGCGGGAAACUUGCCUCAAGAUGAGAUCUCACUGGGAACUUGAUUCCCCUGAAGGGCCGUCGAAGACUACGACGUUGAUAGGCUGGGUGUGUAAGCGUUGUGAGGCGUUGAGCUAACCAGUACUAAUUGCCCGUGAGGCUUGACC
rnacentral:rRNA from 1 species